rnacentral:rRNA from 1 species
UACGGGGGGAGCAAGCGUUGUCCGGAAUUACUGGGCGUAAAGAGCUCGUAGGUGGUUUGUCGCGUUGUUCGUGAAAACUCACAGCUCAACUGUGGGCGUGCGGGCGAUACGGGCAGACUAGAGUACUGCAGGGGAGACUGGAAUUCCUGGUGUAGCGGUGGAAUGCGCAGAUAUCAGGAGGAACACCGGUGGCGAAGGCGGGUCUCUGGGCAGUAACUGACGCUGAGGAGCGAAAGCGUGGGGAGCGAACAGG